UAAAAGGUGGCUUCGGCUACCACUUACAGAUGGACCCGCGGCGCAUUAGCUAGUUGGUGAGGUAACGGCUCACCAAGGCAACGAUGCGCUGCGGGUUUGGGGCGGGGUUUACAAAUAAUUAAAUUAACCCACGUCCCCCCGUGCUGCGGGAGGCAGCAGUAGGGAGUUUUUAUAUGGGGCCACAAACAUAUCGGAGCAACGCCGCGUGAGUGAUGAAGGUUUUCGGAUCGUAAAGCUCUGUUGUUAGGGAAGAACAAGUACCGCCAGUAGUGGAAAAUGCCCUCCCGCCACCCCAUAAGUAAACCAGGGAUCUCCGUGCGCCAGCACGCGGUGAAAUAUGUAGGGCGCAAGUGGUAAUCGGAUUUAUAGGGGGCGAAGGGCUCGCAGGCGGUUCCUUAAGGCAAGAAAGAUGAAAACCCCCGGGGCAACCGUGGAGGGUCANAGGAAACUGGGAUGAGUGGGAGCAGAAGAGGGGAGNGGAAUUCCAAGUGUAUAGCAGAAAAAUGUGUAGAGAUGGAGAGACACCAGUGUGGAAGGGGCACCCCCUGUGGAUAAUAUGACACAGAGACAAGAAGNGUGGGGAAAACAGGAGAUUAAAUACCCUGGUCGUGCCGCCAUAAGACGAUGAGUGCAAAAAGUUAGGGGGUUCAAUCCCCUUAGUAGCUGCAGCUAACGUAUAAUUGACUCCCCCGGGGGAAUACUGUCACAAUUCUGAAACUCGAAGAUAUUGACGGAGGCCCGCACAAGCGGUGCAAUGUGUGGUUAAUGAAGCAACGCGAAGAACCUUACCAGGUCUUGACAUCCUCUGACAAUCCUAGAGAUAGGACGUCCCCUUCGGGGGCAGAGUGACAGGUGGUGCAUGGUUGUCGUCAGCUCGUGUCGUGAGAUGUUGGGUUAAGUCCCGCAACGAGCGCAACCCUUGAUCUUAGUUGCCAGCAUUCAGUUGGGCACUCUAAGGUGACUGCCGGUGACAAACCGGAGGAAGGUGGGGAUGACGU
rnacentral:rRNA from 2 species